AUUUUUCUUCCUUGGCCGAAUGUUCUAAGAAGAAGGGGGGGAGAGCUUGAGAAAAUCAGCUAUGGUAGUUUGCUAGACUAAGCUCAAGAAGUUAAAGGAGGAGAAUCAAGCAAAGGCAAAGGAAAGGACAUCGAGUAGCCGAGUUAGAACCGUUUUACCCAACACAAGGUUCCUUUGAUUCAUUUUUGUGUGCUCGGGACCAUCGUCGAAGUCAUCACACCAGCUUGCAACUUUUUGGUAUCUUCUUCCUAGUUGGUCUAAGAGAACAUUUCGGCAUGUAUAGGCUAUUAUGUUUUGUUUGAACUUUGGUAUGUAAAACUUUGGAUAGCCAUGCGAAAAUGGCU